UCCGUGUUAACCACGGCAGUCUCUUUAGAGAGCCCAACUUAAUGCUGGCAACUAAAGACAAGGGUUGCGCUCGUUGCGGGACUUAACCCAACAUGUCACCACACGAGCUGACGACAGCCAUGCAGCACCUGUCACCUUGUGGUAUUGCUACCAAAGCCAUAUCUCUAUGGUUGUCAAGGGAUGUCAAACCCAGGUAAGGUUCUUCUCGUUGCUUCGAAUUAAACCACAUGAUCCACCGCUUGUGCGGGCCCCCGUCAAUUCCUUUGAGUUUUAGCGUUGCCGCCGUACUCCCCAGGCGGGGCACUUAAUGCGUUAGCGACGGCGUGGAUUCCGUUGGUUGGAACCCACACCUAGUGCCCAACGUUUACGGCGUGGACUAC
rnacentral:misc_RNA from 1 species